rnacentral:rRNA from 1 species
UGGGGAAUAUUGCACAAUGGGCGAAAGCCUGAUGCAGCGACGCCGCGUGAGGGAUGACGGCCUUCGGGUUGUAAACCUCUUUCAGUAGGGACGAAGCGCAAGUGACGGUACCUGCAGAAGAAGCACCGGCUAACUACGUGCCAGCAGCCGCGGUAAUACGUAGGGUGCGAGCGUUGUCCGGAAUUACUGUGCGUAAAGAGCUCGUAGGCGGUUUGUCACGUCGUCUGUGAAAUCCUAGGGCUUAACCCUGGACGUGCAGGCGAUACGGGCUGACUUGAGUACUACAGGGGAGACUGGAAUUUCUGGUGUAGCGGUGGAAUGCACAGAUAUCAGGAAGAACACCGAUGGCGAAGGCAGGUCUCUGGGUAGUAACUGACGCUGAGGAGCGAAAGCAUGGGUAGCGAACAGG